rnacentral:rRNA from 1 species
CACGGGGGGAGCAAGCGUUGUUCGGAAUCACUGGGCGUAAAGGGCGCGUAGGCGGCCAUGCGUGUCUUCCGUGAAAUCCCUCGGCUUAACUGAGGACGUGCGGAAGAAACUGCAAGGCUCGAGUCCGGGAGAGGGGGGUGGAAUUCCCAGUGUAGCGGUGAAAUGCGUAGAUAUUGGGAGGAACACCGGUGGCGAAGGCGGCCCCCUGGACCGGUACUGACGCUGAGGCGCGAAAGCGUGGGUAGCAAACGGG